CCUACGGGAGGCAGCAGUGAGGAAUAUUGGUCAAUGGACGAGAGUCUGAACCAGCCAAGUAGCGUGAAGGAUGACUGCCCUAUGGGUUGUAAACUUCUUUUAUAAAGGAAUAAAACGAGGCACGUGUGCCUUUUUGCAUGUACUUUAUGAAUAAGGAUCGGCUAACUCCGUGCCAGCAGCCGCGGUAAUACGGAGGAUCCGAGCGUUAUCCGGAUUUAUUGGGUUUAAAGGGUGCGUAGGUGGGUUGUUAAGUCAGUUGUGAAAGUUUGCGGCUCAACCGUAAAAUUGCAAUUGAUACUGGCAGGCUGGAGUACAGUUGAGGUAGGCGGAAUGCGUGGUGUAGCGGUGAAAUGCUUAGAUAUCACGAAGAACCCCGAUUGCGAAGGCAGCUUACUAAACUGUGACUGACAUUGAUGCUCGAAAGUGUGGGUAUCAAACAGGAUUAGAUACCCCGGUAGUC
rnacentral:rRNA from 1 species